rnacentral:lncRNA from 1 species
CGGAUCCGGGUCGCACCUUGUGAUUCUGCCUGGUGGGGCAGGGUGCGGGGCCGCGGCCGCGCGCUCAGGUUAGGUGUGUCCGCUCUUUUCUUACACGCGGCCGGUGCGCGCGACCCACGGGCCGAGGAGGGGGCGCGGCGGGAGGGGCCCGCCGAGGCUGCCAGAGCGCGGGUCUCGAGUAUGCGCGCCUUGGGUGGUGUCCCCCGCCUGCGGAAUGGCUAAUGAGGCUUUUCUCCGCAGCAACAGCAUCACGAGUUUUAGUUCCCAGGAGCCCCGCCGCUGCCACGACAUGAGUCAGGCUUUCUUCCUUUGCUCGUGGCGGAGCCCUGCUCCCGGUCGCCGCACCUGGGCUUGCCCCCGGCGAGCGCUGCCCUCGCCCCUUCAGAGAAUACCCCAACGCCGGGAGCUCCCGGGCCCCACCAAAGGCGGUGGCUCCCAGCGAUAGGUGUUGCCUUUUGUGCAAUGCAGUUAUGGCAGCCAUGCGGUCCCCUCACCCUUCGACGGGCAGGGGCGAGGCAGCCAGCAGAUGGUGCAGAUGUUUGCAGCUAACUGCCUUAGCUCCUUCAGGGUAGGCUCUUCUCUAUAAAGGGAGUGGUUGCAAUCCAUAAGUACCUAGAGGGAGGUACCUGGAGCCGGCUAGUUCAGUAAACCGACUGACCUCAACAGGUGGAGCUUAUCUCAAGCAGUGAUGGCUUUUUUGUUCAAGCUGUGGCCCUACAGAUUUGACCUAAAAGGCAAGGUGACCUGAUCAUGGUGGCAACACAGGUGAAAUGGUAAAUGAAGAAUGCCUUUUAGGGUUAGAAAAGUAAAAAUGUCACCUGAAAUUCUAAACAUAUACUUUAUGGUUCUGAGCAUAGUUCUACAAAAGCAACUUCAGUUUUUUUAAUUUAUUGUAAUUUGUUAUAUAUGACAGCAGAAUGCAUUUCAGUUCAUAUUAUACAUAUAUAGCACAAUUUUUCAUAUCUCGGUUGUGCGAAACGUAGAUUUCGUGUCUUCAUACAUGUACUUAGUGCAACUUUAGUUUUUAUUGGGAGCAAUUCACUGGAAUUUGCUUCCCUGACACUACCUCCUUCUAAACAGUCCUUACUACUGAGAAUAUACUUCUUGUGCAGGGGUUAAAAACAACAAAGGAAGCCGAAAGACAUUAGGUGGAAAAAAAAAAUUAAUCAAGAUUGUUGUAAGACUAUGCUUAACAGAUAGACUUCUGAUUUUGUUAAAUCUCCAACCCUGUUUCGGGAGCUUGUUAACACAAAAACAAGUUGUAGGGUUUUGAUAGAAUUCUAAUUGUCCAUUCAACAUGUUACCUUUGGUUUUCUCUGAACUUUUGCCCUCAUUCCAUCCCUCAAAAAAUUAAAAAUGUUUAAAAAGUUUAAAAUGUCACCAUUUACUUUUUGAAUAGAAAUACCUCCUUAGAUGUCCAUUGUCUGUCCUGUAUCAAACUCUAGUACGUGUUGCUUUAUCUGUCGUCUCCCCCAAGAAACGGAAAAGGCAGGCCUGUAUUUUUUUUUACUUUAAAUUGCUAAUGUUGAGCUCAGUGCUAAAUACAAAGUGUGAUCACAAAUAUUUGGAUUGGUAUGGUAAUAAAAAUUAAGUACAUUUGAGAAGAUUUUAAUUCUUGAGAUAAUUUCUUUAACAUGUAAAUGAAUGUAUUUUUUAAAUAAUAAUAGACAUUGUGGAGGGCUGGGGUUGUGGCUCAAUGGUAGAGCACUUGUCUGGCAAGCACAAGUUAAAAAAAUGAGUGAAAUAAAGGUAUUGUGUCC